GUCUAAAAUACAUCAUCCUGAAUGCGCAUUCAAACAUAUCAUGAUAUUUCUCUUACACAGUUUCAAAUAUUUUUAAUAAUGUUCCCUGCCUGAAGGAUCGAUUGAGCUUCACAUUUUUUUCUACAUUAUACAUUAGCAUUUGUCACAUUUAGGGAGGAAAAAAAUUAAAUAUAUUAAAGCAAAGAUUGGCAAACUAUAGCCUGCCUGAAGUCAUCUAUU
rnacentral:lncRNA from 1 species